AGACGCUACGGACUUAGAAAAUCCGUCGAAUUUAAAAAUCGUGAGGGUUCAAGUCCCUCUAUCCCCA
rnacentral:tRNA from 1 species